CUUAUUUUAGAAAUAAAGGCAAAAAAAAAGUUUUAAUUCAGGUUUCAGUUUCUUACGUGACCCAAAUGUGGUAUAGAAAGAGAGAAGGAUUGUCCACAUAUUAUUGUGAAGUUUCUUUUAGAACUUGGCUUUUCUUUUCUUAUAAAGCAUGUUUAGCUUAAGCUUAUUGGGAAAAUAAACACUUACGGUUCUGAUUUUUCAGAAAUGACAGUCUUCUCUUACACAUUACCAUAGCGUUUCAGAAGUUGUAAGACGGACUCAAAAGUAGUCAAGUUUGACUUCUGGAAUUGUGACGUAACUGGUAGUUUUGUAAGCUGCUUUUUUCCUUCUUAUUUUAGACUUCUGUUUCAUUAGCUUUCCCAGUACUUAUUCUGAUACUAAAACUUCUUCUUAUCCAAUCCCAGGUUCCUCCAUCUCCUGGCCAGGAAAGGUUGUUUUUGUUUUUGUUUUUGUUUCGAACCAUGGCUGACUCUGAGCGGUCAGCCAGCGGGGUUCUCGUGCUCCUGCUCUGGGCAGCCGAGCUGCCCUCUCGGUUGCUGACAGGCUCCAUCUUCCCGAUGCCCUUCGUCCGCGCGGAUCGGUUCUGUCUGUUUCCCGCCUGCUGCACUCCUGUCCGUUCUGUGGGGCUUAAUCUCAUUUUCAGCCGUGCGAUUGCGUUAAUAGAUGUUUACGUGUUUAGCCUUCCACCCCUUUAUUUAAAAAAACACCUUAUCUGGGAACUCUUGAAGACAACUUUUGGCCUUGAUGUGCCCCAUAAAUUGUGCCAUGGGCACCAGCGGCCUCUGUGGCGCCUGUUGCCCUGACAGCUGGAGUCGGUCCCCCACCCUUGCUGCCUGGAGCCAUGGUGAUUGUCUUGCGUCCGGUCUUCAGCUCAGGACUCAGGGCCAGCUUUUCAGGCCAGGGGUCUGUGCAGUUGCACAGGGCCCCACACUAGGUUUAAAGUUUUCCUAUUGCCGUCUUGAAUUUCUUAAUUUAAACGAAUUUUUUUUUUAACAAGGGCCCUGCAUUUUUGUUAUGCGCUAGGCCUUGGAAAUUAUAUAGCUUUUAACUCAUUGCCUGCUUCCUCUCCUCCAUUUGCUUCCAGCUUUCCCUGUGGGCUUUCUGUGCUGCCUCAUAUCUCUCUGUCUUCUGCUCACUCCACUUACUUUACUCCCUGGUGCCCUACGGUCCCCAUAAACGACUCCCUCAUGUCAGUGGAAUCUACAGAAAUCAUUACAUCUGAACUACCUGGUAACUGCCUAGCUGGUAGCAAGGUCAGGGCUACCUGUUACGAUCCUUACAGCUGUUUUAAGGUUAGUCCCUAGGGAUCCACAAAUAUCAUUCCGUUAUGUUUACAUUUUCAUUUGGGACCUUUUUAAGUCCUGCACUAUUAAUAUUUUAACAAUUAGCCUGCUACAUAUCUAAUACUGUGUAAUACACUCUGCUUAAACCAGUUUAUUAGAAAACAUUUAUUUGAAGAUGCAGAAAGAGUGUUGACCGAUUAUUAAGGAUCUGAAUACUUGCCAACAGAUCAGGACUCCCAGCUAGUCAGUUGUGUUUGAAGGAUCGUGUGAUACAGUACAUACAAAAGUACUUUGUAAACUCUGGGUUUUUGUCAGGUGCCAGUUUCCUUAAGCGUAAUUGUUUAUCAUCCUUGUAUACUGUUGAUGGAAUGUGAGCUGGUAGAGCCACUACAGAAAACGUUGCAGUGCUUCAUCAGGAAACGACAAGUAGGAUUACCACGUGACCCAGCAAUUCCACGUCCUCAUGUAUACACGGAGGAACUGGAAGCAGGUUCUUGAAGGAGUGUUUGUACACCCACGUUCAGAGCAGUGUCAUUCACAGUAGCCAAAAGGUGGAAUUAACCCAAGUGUCCCUCAAUAGACAAAUGGAUAAGCAAAAUGGAGAUACAUAGACAAAUGAAUAUCAUUCAACCUUAAAUAGGAAGGACACAAAAAAUAAACACAUGAACCUGGAGGACAUUAUGCUGAGUGAAAGAAACCAGACACAAAAGGACAAAGACUGCACGAUUCCACUUACAUGAGGUGCCUGGAGAGUAGUCAGAUUCAUGGAGACCAAAGAGCAUGGGGGGUGUCGGGGGGAGAGGGGAGUGAGCGGUUAGUGUUUAAUGGCUGCAGAGUUUCAGUUUUACAAGAUGAAUUCUGGAGAUGGAUGUGGUAGUGGCACAAAGUGUGUGAAUAUACUUAAUACCACUGAGUUUUGCGCUUCAGAACAGUUACGAUGGUAAAAAACAACAACAACAAAAAAAAGGAAAGUAAUAAUCCUCAUUAUGCGGGGAGUGAGGAGUGCUUGGAGAUAUAGUGAAACAAAAAAAUGGCAGAAUGUUGAUAAUUGUUGAAGCUGAGUGAGUGUACAUGAGGGACACUGUACUCUAGUCUAUUUUCUUAGUAUAAAUUUGAAAUGUUCUGUAGUGAAAAAAAAUUUUAAGUGAUUGUCAUUCAGUUUAGAAGACUAACUGUAUCCAUCAGGGAAUUCUCCUGGUGGCUGCAACUGUCCACAACUGUGGACAUUUCCAGUGAGGAGAGAGGGAUGUGGCUGGCGAGGAAUGGGACAGACUGACUAGCAGAAUGAUGUCGCUGUUCAAGAGAAGGACACUGAAAGAGAUGUAACUUCAGAAGCAAGAGUGUCUCAUAGGAAAUUAAAUUGCCUGAGUCCCCGUAUGUGCUUUUCUUAUUAGAACAGUUACUGACUGAGACCAGGAAAAUUCUAAAAAUUUUUAUUGUGCGUCAGUAUUCUUAAUUACUGUAUACUUUCUUCUGAUGAGCCCAAACAGGGUGGUAUUUGUUGCCUGUGUUGCUGGGAACUGCAAAAAAAAAAAAAAAAAAAAAAAAAAAAAGACACGAUUACCCAACACUGUAAAGUUAAUAUUAAAAAUAUGAAUGCCUGCACUUCAUGGAGCAUGACAUUUAUCAUAGACAUCUGUAAGACAGUGUGGCUCUGUUUUCCAACACAGGCACUUUUUUCUAUUUCUGUUGUGAUUCCAAACACAGGCAUUUUCCUGACCAUCAUGGGCAGUGUGUCCACCCAAUUAUAAGAUGUUUCAGUUAUUAGUCUGAUCAUUUCUUUUAGACAGCACAGUCUGUUUCUGUUAACAGGACUGAAGCAUGUCAAAGGCCUAGAAACGUCUUAAUCUACUACUAAGAAAACUAGACACCAGAAAGCAGAAACAUUCUGAUACGUAUACACAUUCAACUUCAAAAUGUGUAAUAUCUGGUCUUUUAACCGUUUUAAAACAGAGGAUGAAGGAGAUGAGAAUUUUUUUUAUCAGUUACACUUAAAUUUUAUAAGUUCUUACUCUUGGUUUUUUAAAAGACACAUAAUGUGGGGAAUUUAGUACAAGAACAGUGAAAGUACAUUUUAUUUGCUUUGUAUAGAAAAUAUCUAAUUAAGCUUAAUUAUGUGAUGGGCUGAUUCUGGGUACAACUCAUUUGAUUCUGCAGACAUAGUGAAAAGCCCUGCGAAGAUAAAGUAUCUACAGCUCAUGUUGGAGGAAGUACAUUCGUUUCUAAAAUAAAUCUUACAUUUCUUUCUAGGUCUGUACCAAUAGUUCUAGUGGAAUGUGGGCAGAGCCCUUAAAUGUUGAACCUAACAAAUUUGACAUCUUGCCCCACCUGCCAGGAUAAGCUCUAAGGAAAGACAUGAGGCCUAAGACUGAGAUGAGGUGGUUUUGAGGCCAUCUGAUUUCUGGCUAGAAGGUGUGCGGUCGCCUCGUCCUGAAACCCCUGCAGACAGAAUGGUUUGCAAUUUUUUUUGGUGAUGGCAUGUUCAGAAUCUUGGAUCCCAAAUAUAUUGGAAAUAUUUAGGAACUCUGGAAAUUGUUGUUUUUGUAUAUAUAAUGACUUACUAGGUGAAUCAAUAGAUUUAAUAAAACAUAUAAAAGAGUAGGCAUUAUAAUUUUGUAUUUCUAAGUUGGCAUGCGUGUCUCAAAUUCUCAGCUAUUUGUAUUAGUGUCAUGCUCUGCAGACAGGUAUCUUUUGAAGAUUUAGGGGCUUUUAUGGACCUCAUAUUUUCUGAGGCCGUUUCUGUCAUUCCUCCCAUGCCAGCUGGCCAGCUUCUUCUCUUUUCUGUUUGUGUUGUAGUGUAGCUUACUUAGAUCAGAGGUAAUUCUUGAUCAGGAGGAGAGAAGAUAAAAUGAUCAUCACGUGACAGUCCUAAAGGUAAUAAUUACAGAACUUCAAGCUGGAAAUGGCCCCAGCGUGGUCUGUAUUAGAAUAUGCAAAUUCUCCCCAAAUUAUGUCCAGAUACACUAUGGCAAAAUGCCAGUUUUCGAAUCAGAGGUUAUUAUACAGGACAGACGUGCUAAUGGGGAGGGAAGGGAGCUGUUCAUUUCCACCUCCUCCUCUCUGCCUGUUGUUGGGUGAAUGAAUCAGGAAAGUAAAGUGGCCGAGAGGCCGAUGGUGUGAAUGGAAAGGAGAAGGAACAAAAUUAGACCUUCCAGGAAGGAGUAUUUCCCCUUAGAAAAUUGAAAGUUGCCUAUAUUAUAUUCCAUGUACACUAUUUUAAAACUGUAGGCUCCUUUCAUGUAGACCCAGAAUGUGCACUAGGGCAGCCUUGCCCAGAGGACGGGAUGGAGAGACCUGCAUUUGACAGGAGAAUCAGGCAGUCUGUGGUGCCUGGAGCGCCGUUACCAGUGGUUGUCUUCUUCUCUGCCCUGUUCCUGCUGGGACUGAGAGACUAGAGAAGCAUUCUAGGAUGCAUAAUUAUUUCGGUGGUCAAAUAUGAUUGCCUCCCUGUUCUUUUGACCAAAACUGGGGAAAGGUUUGAUUUUUUAAGACUGUAUUCAGAGCAGCUUAAAAACGGAUCAAAGGGAAAGGAUGAGGAGAAUUCAGGGAACUAUAGAGAUUGAGUGGUAGCUAAGCAGAAUGUUAAUUCUUUGUUUAUUGCAAAUUUUAUUAUUGGUAGAUUGUCCAGUAAUACAGGAAUUGGUGUAGAACAGAAGUUUUCAUAACGUUUCUGUUGGAAGGCUUUUAGAAGCUAAGUAGACUACGCUGUAACCACGUGCUCCUCACCUUUGCUUUGCUUGGUUUAAGAGGAAUUGGCUGAUACAUAUUUAAUAAAUGGCACAAUGAAAACAUCAGUUUUUAAAAAUCAAAUUACAUUUUAAUCUAAAUAUGUGUUGCCUGUGGAGCUGCUUUCCCAUUUCAACUGGCUUAAAAAAAAAAACAACUCUCCUUCUGGGAUGCUUUUGUCAAUAGAGACGUUUCCUCUUAGCCAAUUCUAGCUACAGUAUUGACUGGGCCUAGGCAUUUGAUACACCGCGAAGGAAUUAGGCAGGAAAAAAUUUGGUCCCUCCUGGAAUGAAUAUUUUAAAGACCUUCUUAGAUUCUGACACUGUGAGUACACAUGAAGGAGACCCAAGAGAGAGGAAAAUUUAAGCGCCUAAGAACAAAAAUGAUGGUAGGGUUGGGGGUGUGGUAAACGCUCAUAUAACUUACCUAAGGUGCACUGAGGGCAAGGAAUUGACAUCCUAGAGAUCAGAAGGUAGAGUGUGAAAUCCCCUGGGCAGGAGGCCUUCUGAUGUUAAUUCAGCCAGCUCACACUGGCAUGCUGCAGUGUUCUUCAAGAUAGUGGCAGGUGAUCAGGAAAGUAUCAAUACAUUCCCUAACAAUGAGUUUGAUUUUUAUUUUAGUAUGUUAUAUAUGGGCAUGUGGCUCAUUUAUUAAAAAUAAGUAUCUUAAAUAUUAGUGAAAAUACUAUAAAAAUGAGUCUUUUGUCCCUGUUGUAUAACUUUAGAAAAUAAUGUAGAAUACUGACAUAGUAGAGAAUUGAUGGCAUGAAUAUAAUCAAUAUUUGAUGGUUGCUUUCUAGAAACUUCUAAAUAAAACCUUGAGUUUGUUUACCGUUGGCCUCAGUUGUCCUACAGCAGCACUUCUAGUGUGUGUGUCUCACGGGAGAAUCUGCACCUUCUUGGACCACUGCACGUCACAGCCUUGCACAUCACUCUGAGGAUUCAGAAACUGAGCCCGUUACCCAGGGAUGGUUAGCUCUUUGAGCACAGUGGGUAAAUGAGGCCGCACAGAGAAAGUGAGCCUCUGACGAUGGCUCUUUGCAUUUGGAAGUUUUAGACCCUUUCGGAAGACCAGAAGAAAGCUGUGGAUCCUUCCCCCAACUCGGCUGCAGUUUCUGAGGGUAGAGGGGCGGCCCUUGGUUGUCCGGUCAGGAAGCCCUGAUCUAAAAGAUCGCCUUUAUUUUCCUUGGCCUGGCUCCAGCUUUGCUGUGACUCUCCAGGAGUGGUUCUCUAUCAGCUGUGAAUGGAAGGAUCUUAAGGACGCUUAUUGCCUUACACGCUGAGCUGAAGCCACAAGGCCCGAGCUCUGUGAUGUCAUGGAGCCAGAGCUGCAGGGGGCUGGCUGCCCCAAAGGUGCCAACGGUAAAAACAGGGUCCGAGGCAUUGAAGUGUGGGACAGCCCUCCUAGGUAGGCCCUUCCUCCUGCUGGUGUAGGGGCAUUUAUUUCACAGUAGAUUGAAUAUUAAUGUUUUCUUGUUUUUUAAAAAAUGAGCAUAUAUCUUCUAAAUUUUAAAAUUACUAUAAAGGUUUUCUACCUAAGUGGUGACCCUCUUCUCAUGUUUUAGGAUAUCACAUUCAUGAUGUGAAAUGUGUACUUCAAAUUAACAUAGUGACUGGAAAUUUGGAAUUCUGUUAUUUUGUGACCCUAAAAUUUGUAGCAGAUUUUCAGGAAAAUUGUCAAGAUUCCCAGAUACUUUGUCCUUUAUUCCUUUCAAGUUUCCUAAGUGUAUGAUUAUUUCUGAAUUUUAUUAAUCCAUUUAUAACUCUGGAGGAAACUGCCUUCAGUUUCUGUUUUGACACAAAAGGGAUGCUUUAUCUGACUAGAAAUGUGUUUUGACAAAAAAAUUCCACUUGAGUGGCUCUAACCUCCAUUUUGGAAUCUCAGAUCAACAGCUUAUGUCAUUCAUUGGGACUUUUCUGCAAAAUAACAGCUUCACUGAGGUCAUCCUUGAAAAAUGAAGAAAUCCGAAGAUAAUUUUGGGACGGAGUAGAGGGAUGGAGGAGCGUCCUCGGACUGCAGCGCCGCACACGCUGGCUUCUCUGCUCGUGUACACGCAACGCCGUUUGAAUGUCUGUUAUGAAUUGGACCUGUAGACAGAUACAGUGUAUCUUGAAUGUGAGAAAAACACAAGUCCAGCUUCUCAGACUUUUGCGGAAAUACAGUCUCCUCUUGAUUGCUCACACUGGCGGGGGGAGCUUGGUCCUUCCGCCUGACUAAAAUCAGACAUGUUUUCUGGAUUCAAACGAGUUUUUGUAUUCCUUGUGGAAUAGAGUGGGCUUUUACAUCACGUGCCUCCCAGUUUCGCCUGCCCUGCGGGAAGAGCCCGAGUUCAUCUGGGCCCAGCUGCGUGUUCUCGGUCCUUCUCUCUUUUCUGUAAUGUUGCCCUAAAUGUGGGGAAAACAUUAAGCAUGUAGGAUUCCAGAAUUGAUCAGAAUCCUGUUAAGUCUGUCCCUCUUACCCUUCCCGGGUAAUUUGAUUCCAUUUGCUUUUCAACUCUCCUAAAUGUUGCCCACGUUUAACCCCUUUGGUCUGAGGUCAGGAUAGAAUUAGAACCACCAUCCAGGCUGCUUCCCUCCUGUCGCGUUCUGUUCUGCCUGCGGCAGGCGGUUUCAGUUGCCUCAUGAUGGAGGAGUCUGCUCAUCCUUGCAUUCCCGCCUCCCUCCCUGCAGGCUCUUGUGGGGAAAUAGAAUAGAUCUAGAUUUAGCAGUCCUGGCUGUCUCAAGAUUUGCCUAUAAAAGUUCGUGGCAUUGCAUUUAAAAUACAGCCUUUCAGCUGUGGUGUUGACAGGUGUCUCCAGUGGACGUCUGCUCUGUGCUGGGCCCUCGGCUGCAUGUGGCCAUUUGCUCUUUCCCUCCACUACCCAGUUCUCUUGAGGCCAGGAGUGCACCAUCAUGCCUCGGGCACAGGGGCGCCUGGAGCUGACUUCUGUGCCAGCUCGCUGCUCCCUGGAGCCGAGGGCUCAUCAGAUAGUUGAAGAGAGCCAUGUCUGCCCCAGGUGCUAGUAAAACAGGUCACAUGCGGAGAAAAUGGUUAUGUCAGUAAGAUUUUGAAAGCAAGAUUUGUCCAAAAAAAAAACCACCAUCCAAUUUUAGAUUUACCUUCAUGAACCCACGCUGACUGUGUCUUACUUUAAAAAAUAUACAAACUAACAUAACUCUCAGAAAACAUUACCCAGUUGCCCUGAUGUUUUCAAAAUGUGGUAUUUUCUCUAAGCAUUUUUUUACACGUAGAUUGCAGAAGCACGUGCAAAUGUGUUUUGUGUAAGAGUAUAUACUGUAUAAAAUAUGCUGACUGUUGCUCUAAUAAAAUUAAACUUAAGUGGUCUCAUUAUUUAAAGCCUAGUAGUUUGAAAUUAUUUUUUGAGUAAAAUUUUACAGCAUAUGAUGCUAUUUUUUACUUUUCAUGGAAUGUACAAGUAAUCUUAGAAGCUACUUGUGUGUGUGUGUUCCCCACAUAUUCCACAUAAAAUAAAAAUAUUGUAAACAGGGUCCAUGUCUCCAGUGAAAGUCUCCAAACUUUUUGGCUGUAAUUACCAAGUGCUUGGGCUGGGCUGGCUGGAAAUACAUAUCGAGUUUUUCUGUGUAUGUAGCAAACUUUGUCCAAAUAAAGUAGCUUUGUACUCUGAAGGA